CAUCCAUGAAGAGUUUAACCAUAAAUGCAAAUCUAUGCCAUGAAACUAGCUCAUAUUUCAAAAUUAAAUUAAUAGAAGGGGAGAGGGAGAGAAGGCAGAUAGAAUAGAGUGAGAAGAGAUGCUUCAUAUAUAAAUAAUUUCUUAGUCUGAUUCACCAAUAAAAGUUAAAAUGAAGUUAUUACAUAGAAUGGUGUUUAAAAAUUUUUAUGUCCACCCAAUAUGGACUAAAGUUUAAAUUCUAGCAGAAAAGACACUGUUAAAGAUUUUUAACUGAUCCUGCUGGGAUUCUGAAAAGAUCAAGUCCUUACGGAAUUAAUUGCUACAAAAAUUCAUGGUUCACUCGAGUAGACAGAAUGGAUUCGAUAAUUGGUAAAAUAAUUAAGAAUUUUGAAAAUAUUUUUAGAAAAACAUUAUGUGUCAUGAGAUUUUGGUAGAGGGUACAAAAGGGGCAUUAGUCCAAAAGCAGUUUAAUGACCAAUGGAAAUUCAUAGUUAUUAUAUUUGUUCAUACAGUAUUAAAAAGUAGAGGUGUGUAAAUCAUAAGUUUAAAUAGCAUGAUGCACAAGAUUGGUAGUCAUACAGAAGUUAUUGAGGGUCAAAUGAACCUUGAGUUGAAAACAAUUGAGAAUCAUCAAUGGAAGUUCACUUGCUAAUAAAUACAUUAUACAGAAGUCACCUUAGCAAUUUUGCAUGCUCCUCAGCUGCCUUU
rnacentral:lncRNA from 1 species